rnacentral:rRNA from 1 species
CCGGAGCUUGCGUCCANCGGAAAAAGAGGAGUGGCGAACGGGUGAGUAACANGUGGGUAACCUGCCCAUCAGAAGGGGAUAACACUUGGAAACAGGUGCUAAUACCGUAUAACAAUCGAAACCGCAUGGUUUCGAUUUGAAAGGCGCUUUCGGGUGUCGCUGAUGGAUGGACCCGCGGUGCAUUANCUAGUUGGUGAGGUAACGGCUCACCNAGGCGACNAUGCAUAGCCGACCUGAGAGGGUGAUCGGCCACAUUGGGACUGANACNCGGCCCAAACUCCUACGGGAGGCAGCAGUAGGGAAUCUUCGGCAAUGGACGAAAGUCUGACCGAGCAACGCCGCGUGAGUGAAGAAGGUUUUCGGAUCGUAAAACUCUGUUGUUAGAGAAGAACAAGGAUGAGAGUAACUGUUCAUCCCUUGACGGUAUCUAACCGAGAAAGCCACGGCUAACUACGUGCCAGCAGCCGCGGUAAUACGUANGUGGCAAGCGUUGUCCGGAUUUAUUGGGCGUAAAGCGAGCGCAGGCGGUUUCUUAAGUCUGAUGUGAAAGCCCCCGGCUCAACCGGGGAGGGUCAUUGGAAACUGGGAGACUUGAGUGCA